AUUUUUAUCUAUUCAUUACAUCACUGAGCUGGAAGCCAGUAGACCCAGGUUCCUGCCUCAUUUCCAACAUCUACUCUCUGUCUCUCUGUGUGUUCCAGCAAAUGACUUCAAUUCUUUGAGCCACAAAUUUCUCAUACAGACAACAGGACUCAUCAUGCAUAUGGUAGAAAUCAGAUGACAAAAUAAAUGACAAAUAAGAACUGGUGAGAACUCUGCAGAUUGCAGACAUGCAGGCUAGUCAACGCUGAAUACAUAAAACCAAUCUUCCUGCUUCUGAUCUUAACCCUGCAAACUGGCCCAAAAUGAGACAAUGUCUUAAAAAAGAUGGGAGAUGCCGCUUUCGAGAGGGUAGGAGCCCAGACAACAACGUUCAGUAAAGGCAAGAGCAGGAGGCCUCCAGAAUAGCCCUGAUUCUACAACAAAGGAGAUCAGGGCAACUGCUUGCUGAGAGCCUGUGAUGUGUCAGGCACACCUGGGCCCUUGACAAUCAUUUUCUCACUUCACCAUCAAAAGGGCCUAGUGAGGUGAGAAUUCCUCUCCCGGUUUUGCAGAUGAAGUAACUGAGGUUCAGCUGGCAAAGGAUGGGAACAACUCUUGAGCACAAGUGUGCCUGACUCCAUCACAGCACAGCGUCCCUCCCAGCUGAGUGGGGCUGGAGAGAAAAGAGUAUCUUAGAGGCCACGGUAUCUUAGAG
ensembl:lncRNA